rnacentral:tRNA from 1 species
GGGGCUGUAGCUCAGUGGUAGAGCACUUGCCUAGCAUGUGUGAAGCACUGGGUUCAAUCCUCAGCGCCA